rnacentral:tRNA from 1 species
GGAUCGGUGGCAGAAGAGCGAUGGGCUCGACCGCAGAUCGAGCCGAUGCAGGUGCGAGUCCUGCCCGAUCCA